AUUGAACGCUGGCGGCAGGCCUAACACAUGCAAGUCGAGCGGAUGAAGGGAGCUUGCUCCUGGAUUCAGCGGUGGACGGGUGAGUAAUGCCUAGGAAUCUGCCUGGUAGUGGGGGAUAACAUCCGGAAACGGGCGCUAAUACCGCAUACGUCCUGAGGGAGAAAGUGGGGGAUCUUCGGACCUCACGCUAUCAGAUGAGCCUAGGUCGGAUUAGCUAGUUGGUGGGGUAAAGGCCUACCAAGGCGACGAUCCGUAACUGGUCUGAGAGGAUGAUCAGUCACACUGGAACUGAGACACGGUCCAGACUCCUACGGGAGGCAGCAGUGGGGAAUAUUGGACAAUGGGCGAAAGCCUGAUCCAGCCAUGCCGCGUGUGUGAAGAAGGUCUUCGGAUUGUAAAGCACUUUAAGUUGGGAGGAAGGGCAGUAAGUUAAUACCUUGCUGUUUUGACGUUACCAACAGAAUAAGCACCGGCUAACUUCGUG
rnacentral:rRNA from 1 species